UCUCACUCUAGCGAGACUGCCGUUGACAAAACGGAGGAAGGCGGGGACGACGUCAAAUCAUCAUGCCCCUUAUGUCCCGGGCUACACACGUAAUACAAUGGCGGUCAACAGAGGGAAGCAAAGCCGCGAGGCGGAGCAAACCCCUAAAAGCCGUCUCAGUUCGGAUUGCAGGCUGCAACUCGCCUGCAUGAAGUUGGAAUUGCUAGUAAUCGUGGAUCAGCAUGCCACGGUGAAUACGUUCCCGGGCCUUGUACACACCGCCCGUCACACCAUGAGAGUUGGGAACACCCGAAGUCCGUAGCCUAACCGCAAGGAGGGCGCGGCCGAAGGUGGGUCUGAUAAUUGGGGUGAAGUCGUAACAAGGUAACCGUAUA
rnacentral:rRNA from 1 species